AUUGAACGCUGGCGGCAGGCCUAACACAUGCAAGUCGAGCGGAUGAAGGGAGCUUGCUCCUGGAUUCAGCGGCGGGCGGGUGAGUAAUGCCUAGGAAUCUGCCUGGUAGUGGGGGAUAACGUCCGGAAACGGGCGCUAAUACCGCAUACGUCCUGAGGGAGAAAGUGGGGGAUCUUCGGACCUCACGCUAUCAGAUGAGCCUAGGUCGGAUUAGCUAGUUGGUGGGGUAAAGGCCUACCAAGGCGACGAUCCGUAACUGGUCUGAGAGGAUGAUCAGUCAAACUGGAACUGGGACACGGUCCAGCCUCCUACGGGAGGCAGCGGUGGGGAUUUUUGGACAAUGGGCGAAAGCCUGAUCCAGCCAUGCCGCGUGUGUGAAGAAGGUCUUCGGAUUGUAAAGCACUUUAAGUUGGGAGGAAGGGCAGUAAGUUAAUACCUUGCUGUUUUGACGUUACCAACAGAAUAAGCACCGGCUAACUUCGU
rnacentral:rRNA from 1 species